AAAAUGAUUAUGCCGAGGUAUGAUUUGCAAAUUUCAUAAUGGGUCUAAAUCUGUUUCUUGCAUCCAAAUUUCUGAAUCAGAAAAAAAUAGGUGGGAGGAAUGUACCUCCCAACUGCACCUCUGGCAAACCCUGUCUAUUGUAGUCCAGAAAACUGAAUGCUAAUAUCUAACAUACAUAAAGCUUUUAGCGUAUGAAAUAGAUUUUUAGAGUGCAAGGGGAACUGAGGAUGUAACUUAUAAAUCAAUCUUAACAAGCUUUUAGCGUACUGCAGUACUGUGCUUGUUUGCAAGUGCAUGCUGUUUUUCA
rnacentral:misc_RNA from 1 species